UUGACGUUUGAAUUCUUUUUUAAAUAUUUUGCAAGUGCGGCAGAAAAUCAAAUCGUAUACUUGUGCUGCUUCUUGUUCGCAAUAAACGAAACAUUUUGUUCACAAUAGAAUUCAUAAACUGCAGAGAUAGUUGCCAUAUUAAAGCGUAUGAAACAAACUUAUAGGAAAUAGUAUUCUGAGACAUUACGACCGUUGUUUAUUUAUUAACUCUUUUGCAAUAUAUGUAUUCCUGCAAGCCACUUAUCGGUUAAAUCAACGGGUUUUUAUCCAACAGCGCUAUCAAAGAUUUCUGGCCUUAUGAGUUAUGGUGCACCGUGUUCAUGUGUUAGUUUCCGCUCAAAUUCUUUCAAUGCAUUCGAGUUGCGGUAGCCGUGACUUGAUGGGAUGUUAUUAUAAUCACAUUUGUCUUUCCGUAGAUCUGAUCGGAAACAUGUGCUUCAACGAAAUUUCUUUUUACUGCUAUUGUUAUAGCGACAGAAAACUCGACCCAAAUAAUUAUGGAAAACGCUGCGAGUUGAUAUUUCUUUGCUGGAUAUAAAUCUGGGUUCAUGCCAGUUAAAUAGAACCGAUUGUCCUAUAUAGAGAAAACAUCAAAUUUAUUAAAUAAAAAAUUCGGAUCAUAAAAUCGUAUCAUAAUAAACAGCUAAU